GACAUGUUCCAGGGUCCUAUCAACUCGCAGAUAUCUUGACAAAGCCACUCUUGGCACCAAGUUUCAAUAAGUUUCGAAGUCAGCUUCGAGUAGUUAGUUUCUGUUAAAAGAAGGUUGGAAAGCAGUGGAGAAGUAUAAGGAAUAUUAGGGAAUAAAAUAAGUCAGUUUCUGUUAGUAGUUAGUUUCUGUUAUGUUUAGUUAAAAG
rnacentral:lncRNA from 1 species